rnacentral:rRNA from 1 species
GAUAAACGCUGGCGGCGUGCCUAAUACAUGCAAGUCGAUCGCUGGAAACCUAGCUUGCUAGGUGGAAGGAGAGGCGAACGGGUGAGUAACACAUAAGCAACCUGCCUACAAAGACUGGGAUAAUCUCUGGAAACGGGGACUAAGACCGGAUAGGUAAUAGGGUCACAUGAUCUUAUUAUUAAAGGUUAGAAACACUAGUAGAUGGGCUUAUGGUGCAUUAGUUAGUUGGUAAGGUAACGGCCUACCAAGACGAUGAUGCAUAGCCGGGCUGAGGGGCUGAACGGCCACAUUGGGACUGAGACACGGCCCAGACUCCUACGGGAGGCAGCAGUAGGGAAUUUUCGGCAAUGGGGGCAACCCUGACCGAGCAACGCCGCGUGAGUGAUGAAAGUCUUCGGAUUGUAAAGCUCUGUUAUAAGGGAAGAAUGUCCUUGAUAGAAUCGAGGAGUGACGGUACCUUAUCAGAAAGCUACGGCUAACUACGUGCCAGCCGCCGCCGUAA